AACGCGAAGAACCUUACCAAGCCUUGACAUCCCCCUGACAGGACAGUAACGCGUCCCUUCCUUCGGAACAGGGGAGACAGGUGGUGCAUGGUUGUUGUCAGCUCGUGUCGUGAGAUGUUGGGUUAAGUCCCGCAACGAGCGCAACCCUUACCUUCAGUAGCCAGCAAGUAAAGGUGGGCACUCUGGAGGGACUGCCAGGGACAACCUGGAGGAAGGUGGGGAUGACGUCAAAUCAUCAUGCCCCUUAUGGCUUGGGCUACACACGUGCUACAAUGGCGUAAACAAAGGGAAGCAACCCUGUGAAGGUGAGCAAAUCCCAAAAAUAACGUCCCAGUUCGGAUUGUAGUUGUG
rnacentral:rRNA from 1 species